UAUAUCGCUUUGAAUGGAAGAAGUAGUGAACAUCUCCCUGUCCCAGAAAGCUGAUGGUCGAUGCAAAUCAGCACAAAGAUGGAUCAUGAAUUACCUCCAGGAGCUUCUUUUGUGAACGGCAGAUCUGCCAAUUAGCAGAAGACGGUUAAAGGCCGUUAUCUUUUCGAGACGGGAAGCAUGCUUCCCAAAGCAGGGUGGUACCGCGUAUUCCACGCCCCUUCA
rnacentral:ncRNA from 1 species